CAGUCGCCACGGGAAUACGAAGGGGGCUAGCGUUGCUCGGAAUGACUGGGCGUAAAGGGCGCGUAGGCGGCGGCCAAAGUCGGACGUGAAAUUCCUGGGCUCAACCUGGGGGCUGCGUUUGAUACUUGGUUGCUUGAGUGGGGAAGAGGGUCGUGGAAUUCCCAGUGUAGAGGUGAAAUUCGUAGAUAUUGGGAAGAACACCGGUGGCGAAGGCGGCGACCUGGUCCUUGACUGACGCUGAGGCGCGAAAGCGUGGGGAGCAAACAGGAUUAGAUACCCGUGUAGUCCCUGUCUCUUAUAC
rnacentral:rRNA from 1 species